rnacentral:rRNA from 1 species
ACCUACGGGGGGCAGCAGUAGGGAAUUUUCGUCAAUGGGCGCAAGCCUGAACGAGCAAUGCCGCGUGAACGAGGAAGGUCUUCGGAUCGUAAAGUUCUGUUGAAGGGGAAAAGGAGCGGAGAGAGGAAAUGGUCUCCGAUUGAUAUUACCCUUCGAGGAAGUCACGGCUAACUACGUGCCAGCAGCCGCGGUAAUACGUAGGUGGCGAGCGUUAUCCGGAAUGAUUGGGCGUAAGGGUGCGUAGGCGGCCUGCUAAGUCUGGAGUGAAAGGUACCGGCCCAACCGGUACAGGCUCUGGAAACUGG